rnacentral:lncRNA from 1 species
CGUUUCCAUGGUAACGGCUGCGGUGGGGACAAGGUUCUUAAUUAGGCCUUAAUGAGGCGCUGACUUCCGAGUUGGGGGCGUCGCCGCCAUGACAGCUACCAGCCCCCCCCCGGACCAUUACCGGGUUCUCGGGGUCCCACCCGACGCCAGCCAGGAACAGAUCCGGGAUGCGUUCAUCAGGGGCUGCAAGGAGACCCCAUAAGGACCCUAUGACCCCAUAAAGACCCUAUAGACCCCAUAGAAACCCUAUAGACCCCAUAAGGAACCCAUAAAGACCCUAUAGACCCCAUAGAAACCCUAUAGACCCCCAUAAAGACUCCAUAGACCCCAUANAAUGGGCACCUAGAAAACCCAAGAGCACGACGCAUAACCCCCUCCCCUGCUACCCAUAGGAACCCCAUAGGACCCCAUUAGGACCCUAAUGGCAUCCAUGGGACCCCAAUAGGACCCAUAGGACCCCCAUCAUCCCACGCUCAUCCCCCGUAGGACCCCCAUAGGACCCAGUGGCACCCAUAG